UUGACAGCCCUUGGAGACUGAAGUCCUCUAUUUAUCCGCAGAGCAGGUAUAGUUUGCAGUGCAGCUGUCCAUACAUGCACACUGCCCCCAUCAUCAAUGUGCUGCAACCCUGACCUGGAGGACCACAUCUACAAAUAAGGAGGGAGUUCAUUCUCGGGGAGGGGGGGCAUUUGGUCCUUGGCCUCU
rnacentral:sRNA from 1 species